CAUCUUACAACUCUCCGCCACCUCCACCUAAAUACUAUGAGCAAUCACCAACGUAUUACAACUCUCCCCCACCACCAAACUACCAAGAAUCUACCCCUUCCUAUAAAUCUCCUCCACCUCCUCCAAAAUCCUAUGAACAAUCACCCGCAACCUACAACUCACCACCUCCUCCAAAGACCUAUGUAGAAUCACCGUUAUACUACUCACCUCCACCACCACCGUACUACAAGGAAACGCCUACUUAUGCCUCACCUCCACCACCACCGUACUACAAGGAAACACCUACCUAUGCCUCACCUCCACCACCUGUGAAGUAUGAGCAGCCUGCUACCUAUGCUUCACCUCCACCCCCAUCACCAUCUCCCCCACCAACCUACUAUUAGUAUUCAAAUCCUUCUCUUGAAUCAUUUUCCACCAUCUUCACCCCAUCACCAUCUCCCCCACCAACCUACUAUUAGUAUUCAAAUCCUUCUCUUGAAUCAUUUUCCACCAUCUUCAUGAUUUAUUAACUCCUUUUCAUCCUCCAUCAGAGUAUUACCGUUUCCUUUUCCAAAAUUUUAUGUAUGCUUCCCAAAAUGAUCGGCUUGCAUGCUGUGUGUUCUUUUGUUCUAAUAAUUCGUGAUAUUUAUCAUUUGAGAUUUCCAUUAUUUUGGCUUAUUGUAUCAAGAUUCUAUUUUGGUGUAAUUUAUCAAGAAUUCUAAUUUGCUCAAAUAUUAUCUUCUUUUUGUCUAAUAUUUCUCUAGAGCAUUUUCUUCUCAAGUAUUGUUUAACAUGGGAAAAAAAAAAGAGUGAGGAAAGGUGCAAGAUAUAGUCAUGGAUCGAUGCUUCAACACAAAUUCCUUUUUGACUUACUGGCUACUGCUGUGAAUAUGGAUUAUAAUUGUACUUAUCAGUUUUUAAGAAAAUAAAAUUAUAUAAACUAACCAGAAGAAUAAAGGAAUGAAGAUAGUUUUACUUUAGACAUAAAUAUUCUUUUUCUAAAAAGCUUCAUCCAUUGGAAAUAUUUCAAAAGAUAUAAAACUAAAUUAAAACACCUUAUUAAAAUACAGCAUUUACCGUGAAAAUUAUUUUUAGGAAAAGAACCACCGGUGCCGGUAGCUGCUCCCCCGCUUGCUAUGUCAGUGACUCCCUUCUUAUUGCUCCUAUGUAUCUUUCAGUCUGUAGGUUCUUUCCCUUUCCUUUCCUACUCUUUCACAGUUUUCCGAGCUAUUUCAAUCAUUGUAAUCGUUCGUUCGGUUUCGAGCUUAUUCCAAAAUUUGACUUUUCCCCUGCAUUUGCAUGUUAGUGUUGAUGUACUCGCUCCAUUUUAUUUUGUUUGUUUUAGUUUCGACUUCACAGAGUUUAACAAAGUAAAAGAGACUUUUGAAUUUGUAGCCUUAAACUAAAGAUAGUUAUGAUGUAUUAAAAUGUCCUCUAGUCUUGAAAUUGAGAUAUUUUUUCUGGAUGGACUAAAAUUGAAAGUAAGUCAAACAAAUUGAAACGGAUGAAGUAUAUAUAUCUAAAACCGUACAGAUUUGUUAUCAAGCUAGUAAAGGGGUAAAGGUAACAGCUUUAAGUAUUUUAAGUUGAUGUGAUUUUUAGGAUUUUAAAUACUUAUACAUUUCCCAUUGAUAGAUUCUUAGGCUUGGAGUAAUUUGUUAAGGCAUAAAAUAUUUUGCUUGAAAAGCCUAGGUUCCAUUACCCUGCCAAUAGUCUCCGUUAGUUGUCAUUGUUUGAUGUUCAGAGUUAGUCCUCUUUAGGGACUGUGGCAUACGUUGUCCUGAUUUAGGUUAUAACAAUUAUCUUCAAGGCCAGUAGUUGGUCGCCUAUAUGAGUCCUGAUUCACCAUUUCGCGCUCUAUAUUUGUUUUUCAUUCCAAUACUUAAUAAUUUGUCUUUUAGGAAGAAUGAUGGGUUCUCCACCAUUAAGGAUUCUUUAAUUUUCAUACUUAUCCCUACUCUGCCAUAUACUUCCUCCCAAAACAAAGAAGACUCAUGUCAACACCGGCCUAACGUAAGUGUACCAAGAUGUAUUUAGCUAAGUGCGAAACAGGUUUCGUGCUUUGCCUCGGCUAAGUGGCUUCAGUGCACACAACUAUAUGGAUAUUAGGCUUGUGUUAUGUUCUUCACUAAAUCCAUAUGAACUCCAAGAUAUUGUAGAAUCUUUAAGGGAACUUUCCGCCAUAUGAUUUUUGUUCUAUCUUAUUCCUCCUUAACACAUUCAGUUUUCAUGUUGUGUACAUCUGCAGUCGCUUUCCACUUAGGAGUAGGACAUAGAUCAAACCAACUACUUCUACUAUAGCAUGCCAUUUUUUCUUUUUCUUUUUUCCUCUAUCCGUGUGCACAUCCUACCUGAUGUGGUUACUUCUAAUCUUGUAUUUGUACAUGUAAAAGAACAAAAUAUUAUCCUAAAGGUCUAGCUACAGGCUAUUAAUGCUUUUUUUUUUUUUUGAAUAAGCAAUUCAUAUGCUAAUUUUAGAAGAGACUCGUAGGAAUUUGCUUUUUUUCUCCGAAAAGGGUGAUCAUGGGGAGCAUCAUUCAAGAAGUCCUGCAGAGAACACUUCAGCAAGGUGUUUGGCAUAGCACUAUGCUCCACUUCUCUUGCCUGGUUUUUAUCUGGUCGAGAGAAUGCGAGGGGUUACUGCCUCAUUCGUUAAUUUAAAACACAUCUGACCAAGUAGUGUGAAAUUUUAGUUUUUAUGAGGCGAAGUGAAAAAGAUCAAGAAGUUGGUUACCCAAAUAAAAUUCUGCAAUCAAAGUCACUUAAACUUAUCAGAUAACAGUAAAAUAUUAUUAUCCAACUAGGUUUCUUGUUGUAUUAAUCAGAAAAGAGUUAUCUGAAGCCAAACAAAACUGGCAAUAUGUGUAGCAUUUCUUAGAUUUUUACACAUUUUAGCAAAUUUAUAACAUAAACAUUUUGUAAUAAUUUUCAGAAUUUCUGUGUUUUCUGGUAGCUUUGACGUGAUCUUAUAUAGAGAGAGGAGCCCAGUGCUGAUAGCUGUUGCAUUUUUGUUCAAACUCUAGAUUAUAAGCCAAGUUACAGAUUCUGGCUUUGAGAAAACGACAAAGAAAAGGCCCUCAUUUCUUUUUUCUGUUUAUUGUUAUGAAAUAGUCAAUCUUUAACUACUUUCUGGUGUAUAUAUAUAUCCUCUUUAUUUUUAUUUUCAAUAUUGUAUUCAAAUUAUCAUUUCUCAGCAGAUAAUGCCUCCCACUUAGUACUGAUUAAAGUCUUUAUUUGGGCAUUGCUCUAAGUUUAGUGGGCAAGUGGGCAACUAAGAAGCUAUUACAUUAAUGUUGAGAAGGAUUUCACCUUGCUCUAUAAAAACCAGAGCUCCCUACUCAGCUAUGCAACACAGAGUCUUAGUUCUAUCCUUCACUUCUCUAAGUAUAUAGUAAUUUGUUCCAAGCAAAAUGAAAAACUUAGGAAAGUUGGGCCAAUGGUCCUUUCUGACACCUGCUUUGGCAAUUUGCAUAGUAGUCAGCACCGUUGUUGCUGAUUACUCUUAUGAGUAUACUUCUCCCUCACCUUCACACAACCCUAACAAAUACUACAAAUCACCAUAUCCAUCCAAGUAUCACGUACCCACCCCUUAUUACAAGAAGCCUUCUCCAUCACACUACUACUACAAAUCACCAGCACCUUCAAAGCACGCCAAUUACAAGUCACCAUCACCAGUAAAAUAUUACAAAUCACACUUCCCAGCAAAAUAUUACAAGUCGCCCAUUGUAACAAAGUACUAUAAGCCACGUGCUCCUUCAAAACAUUACUACAAAGCUCAUGUUCCUUCAAAGCAUUACUACAAUUAUCCAUCUCCUUCAAAGCAUUAUUAUAAGUCACCGGUUGCAACAAAGUAUUACAAGUCACCUACACCUUCAAAGUAUUACUACAAGUCACCUACUCCUUCAAAGAACUACCACAAGUCCCCAUCACCAGCAAAGUACUACAAGUCUCCGUCACCCACAAAGUACUACAAGUCACCUACUCCGUCAACACACUAUUACUACAAGUCACCAUCCCCAACAAAAUAUUCCAAAUCACCUGCUCCAUCUAAAUACUACAAGUCACCUUCACCAACGAAAUAUUACAAGUCACCAAUUUACUACAAGUCUCCACCACCACCACCAACUUAUUACGAGAAAUCACCUUCGUACUACAAGUCACCUCCACCUCCACCAAAAUACUAUGAGCAGUCACCUAAGUAUUACAAUUCACCUCCACCCCCACCAAAAUACUAUGAACAAUCACCAUCAUCUUACAACUCUCCGCCACCUCCACCUAAAUACUAUGAGCAAUCACCAAUGUAUUACAACUCUCCACCUCCACCAUACUACCAAGAAUCUACACCUUCCUAUAAAUCUCCUCCGCCUCCUCCAAAAUCCUAUGAACAAUCACCCGCAACCUACAACUCACCACCUCCUCCAAAGACCUAUGAAGAAUCACCAUUAUACUACUCACCUCCACCACCACCGUACUACAAGGAAAUGCCUACUUAUGCCUCACCUCCACCACCACCGUACUACAAGGAAACACAUACCUAUGCCUCACCUCCACCACCUGUGAAGUAUGAGCAACCUCCAACCUAUGCUUCACCUCCACCCCCAUCACCAUCUCCCCCACC
rnacentral:lncRNA from 1 species